rnacentral:tRNA from 1 species
GGAGAGAUGGCCGAGUGGUUGAUAGCCCCGGUCUUGAAAACCGGUAUAAUUCUGAACAAAGAACUAUCGAGGGUUCGAAUCCCUCUCUCUCCU